rnacentral:rRNA from 1 species
GGCGGACGGGUGAGUAACACGUGAGAAUUGGCCUUUAGGAGGGGGAUAACAAUUGGAAACGAAUGCUAAUACCCCAUAUGCUUUCGAGUGAAAUGGAUUUAUAUUUAUUCGCCUAAAGAGAAGCUCGCGGCUGAUUAGCUUGUUGGUAAGGUAAGAGCUUACCAAGGCGACGAUCAGUAUCUGGUUUGAGAGGACGAUCAGACACACUGGAACUGAGACACGGUCCAG